GAUGAACGCUGGCGGCGUGCUUAACACAUGCAAGUCGAACGGUGAAGGCGGAGCUUGCUCUGCUGGAUCAGUGGCGAACGGGUGAGUAACACGUGAGCAAUCUGCCCCUGACUCUGGGAUAAGCGCUGGAAACGGCGUCUAAUACUGGAUACGAGCUGCGACGGCAUCUUCAGCAGCUGGAAAGAAUUUCGGUCAGGGAUGAGCUCGCGGCCUAUCAGCUUGUUGGUGAGGUAAUGGCUCACCAAGGCGUCGACGGGUAGCCGGCCUGAGAGGGUGACCGGCCACACUGGGACUGAGAUACGGCCCAGACUCCUACGGGAGGCAGCAGUGGGGAAUAUUGCACAAUGGGCGGAAGCCUGAUGCAGCAACGCCGCGUGAGGGAUGACGGCCUUCGGGUUGUAAACCGCUUUUAGCAGGGAAGAAGCGAAAGUGACGGUACCUGGAGAAAAAGCGCCGGCUAACUACGUG
rnacentral:rRNA from 1 species